GGGGAAUAUUGGGCAAUGGACGCAAGUCUGACCCAGCAACGCCGCGUGAAGGAAGAAGGCUUUCGGGUUGUAAACUUCUUUUAAGGGGGAAGAGUAGAAGACGGUACCAAAAGAGGAAGCCACGGCUAACUACGUGCCAGCAGUCGCGGUAAUACGUAGGUGGCGAGCGUUGUCCGGAAUUACUGGGCGUAAAGGGCGCGUAGGCGGCCUGUUAAGUCAGAUGUGAAACCCCCAGGCUCAACUUGGGGAUUGCAUAUGAAACUGAUGGGCUCGAGUGUCGGAGAGGAAAGCGGAAUUCCUAGUGUAGCGGUGAAAUGCGUAGAUAUUAGGAGGAACACCAGUGGCGAAGGCGGCUUUCUGGACGAUAACUGACGCUGAGGCGCGAAAGCGUGGGGAGCAAACA
rnacentral:rRNA from 2 species